rnacentral:rRNA from 1 species
UCCGUAGGUGAACCUGCGGUUGGAUCAUUUUCGAUCAGCACCCUGUCAAAGGGUCGAUCCACAACUGUGAACUUUGUGUUUUUGCGGCAGAGCAGUGUGAGGCAAAUCACCGUGGGUUGUGCACGCCCACCUUGACGUCGCGGAUCACCUUUGCCGCUGAACAAACCUAUGCUUUUUGACUGAUUCAUCACUUUGAUGUGAAAAUCAAAAACAACUUUCGACAACGGAUCUCUUGGCUCUCGCAACGAUGAAGAACGCAGCGAAAUGCGAUAAGUAAUGUGAAUUGCAGAAUUCCGUGAAUCAUCGAAUCUUUGAACGCACAUUGCGCUUUCUGGUAUUCCGGAGAGCAUGCCUGUCUGAGAACCGAAAACAUCUCACAUCUUACGGUGUGGAUCUGGGUCGUCCGCAUUCUGCGGUGACCCGAAAAAGCAUAGCUGAUCCGCUCACGAAACCAUGUUUCGCAAGCAUCUUUAGUGUGAAAAUUCACUAUCAAUGCAGGCGUGCUCGGAGGUAGUGUGCUGGACCGGCGUUCGUCAGUCACAUUGUGAUUUUCGAAGGAACACCUUGGAUCCGGAGGGUCUCCAGGAUCAGGGCAAGGACUACCCGGCUGGAACUUAAGGCAUAUCAAUAAGGGGAGGGGGAAGGUCGG